CGGCAAGAGUAGCGCAAUUAUGAUGAGAAUUCAUAACACCGAAUAUCCAAGGUUUCCCCCGCAACGUUCGUCGACGGGGGGUUAGUCGGUCCUAAGGCGAGGGCGAAAGCCGUAGUCGAUGGACAACGGGUUAAUAUUCCCGUACCGGAUAUGAUUCGUUAUGAGCAAAGGAAGGACGAAGUUGGAUAUGCUAGGGCUGCCCAUUGAACAUGGUGGCUUUAAGUAGUUAGACAGUUUGAUCAGGCAAAUCCGAUCAGGCGUUUAUUCGAGCUACGAAUAAAACUUUAUGCGCAAGUAUAAGGGAUUUAGCAAACUUCAGUUUCCAAGAAAAUUUUCUAGCCAGAAUCAGGUCCGUCCGUACCGUAAACCGACACAGGUGGAUAGGUAGAGUAUACUAAGGUGAGCGAGAGAACCUCUCUUAAGGAACUAGGCAAUUUGCAUCCGUAACUUCGGGAUAAGGAUGCCCUAGCUGUAACAGGCUAGGUGGCACAAACUAGGGGGUAGCGACUGUCUAUCAAAAACACAGGGCUCUGCGAAGCUGUAAAGCGACGUAUAGGGUCUGACGCCUGCCCGGUGCCGGAAGGUUAAAAGGAGUGGUGCAAGCUGCGAAUUGAAGCCCCGGUAAACGGCGGCCGUAACGAUAACGGUCCUAAGGUAGCGAAAUUCCUUGUCGGGUAAGUUCCGACCUGCACGAAUGGCGUAACGACUUCCCCACUGUCUCCAGCAUAGGCUCAGCGAAAUUGAAUUCCCCGUGAAGAUGCGGGGUUCCCGCGGUCAGACGGAAAGACCCUAUGAACCUUUACUAUAGCUUCGCCUUGGCGUUAGCAUCAACAUGUGUAGGAUAGGUGGGAGGCUAUGAAGCGGGGGCGCCAGUCCUCGUGGAGCCAUCCUUGAAAUACCACCCUUAUUGUUGCUGACGUCUAACCGAGACCCGUCUAUCCGGGUCCGGGACAUGGCGUGGUGGGUAGUUUGACUGGGGCGGUCGCCUCCCAAAGUGUAACGGAGGCGCGCGAUGGUGGGCUCAGAGCGGUCGGAAAUCGCUCGACGAGUGCAAUGGCAUAAGCCCGCCUGACUGCGAGACUGACAAGUCGAGCAGAGACGAAAGUCGGCCAUAGUGAUCCGGUGGUCCUUCGUGGACUGGCCAUCGCUCAACGGAUAAAAGGUACUCUAGGGAUAACAGGCUGAUUUUGCCCAAGAGUCCAUAUCGACGGCAAAGUUUGGCACCUCGAUGUCGGCUCAUCUCAUCCUGGGGCUGGAGCAGGUCCCAAGGGUAUGGCUGUUCGCCAUUUAAAGAGGUACGUGAGCUGGGUUCAGAACGUCGUGAGACAGUUUGGCCCCUAUCUGCCGUGGGUGUUCGAGACUUGAGAGGAUCUGUCCCUAGUACGAGAGGACCGGGAUGGACAUACCUCUGGUGGACCUGUCGUGGCGCCAGCCGCGCAGCAGGGUAGCUAAGUAUGGACGGGAUAACCGCUGAU
rnacentral:rRNA from 1 species